GGGUGGCCAGCCACACUGGGACUGAGAUACGGCCCAGACUCCUAAGGGAGGCAGCAGUCGAGAGGCAUCCGCAAUGGGCGAGAGCCCGACGGUGCGACGCCGCGUGGACGAUGAAGGCCUUCGGGUCGUAAAGUCCUGUCACAGGGGGGAGAACAACCCUCAUCUUAAUAGGAUGAGGGUCUGACGUUGCCCCUGGAGAAAGACCCGGCUAACUCCGUUCCAGCAGCCGCGGUAAUACGGAGGGGUCGAGCGUUAUUCGGAUUCACUGGGCGUAAAGGGAGCGUAGGCGGGAUCGUAUGUCUGCCGUGAAAUCCGCCGGCUCAACCGGUGAACUGCGGUAGAAACUGCGAUUCUUGAGUUCGGUAGAGGAAUGCGGAAUUCCUGGUGUAGCGGUGGAAUGCGUAGAUAUCAGGAAGAACACCGGUAGCGAAGGCGGCAUUCUGGGCCGUAUCUGACGCUGAGGCUCGAAAGCCGGGGGAGCGAACAGGAUUAGAUACCCUGGUAGUCCCGGCCGUAAACGAUGGGUACUAGGUGUAGGGGGUACUGACCCCCCCUGUGCCGCAGUUAACGCAUUAAGUACCCCGCCUGGGGAGUACGCGCGCAAGCGUGAAGCUCAAAGGAAUUGACGGGGCCCCGCACAAGCGGUGGAGCAUGUGGAUCAAUUCGACGCAACGCGAAGAACCUUACCGGGGUUUGACAUGUACCGGACUGUCAUGGAAACAUGGCUUCCCUUCGGGGUCGGUACACAGGUGCUGCAUGGCUGUCGUCAGCUCGUGUCGUGAGAUGUUGGGUUAAGUCCCGCAACGAGCGCAACCCUCGUCGCCUGUUGCCAUCAGGUUAAGCUGGGCACUCUGGCGAGACUGCCCGCGAUAUGCGGGAGGAAGGCGGGGAUGACGUCAAGUCCUCAUGGUCCUUACAUCCCGGGCUUCACACGUGCUACAAUGGCCGGUACAAAGGGUUGCGAUACCGCGAGGUGGAGCCAAUCCCAAAAAGCCGGUCUCAGUUCGGAUUGGAGUCUGCAACUCGACUCCAUGAAGUCGGAAUCGCUAGUAAUCGUGGAUCAGCAUGCCACGGUGAAUACGUUCCCGGGGCUUGUACACACCGCCCGUCAAGCCACGAAAGCUGGUAGUACCCGAAGUCGCUGAGCUGACCCGCAAGGGGGGCAGGCGCCGAAGGUAAGAUUAGCGAUUGGGGCUAAGUCGAAACAAGGUA
rnacentral:rRNA from 1 species